rnacentral:pre_miRNA from 1 species
AACAUUCAACGCUGUCGGUGAGUUUGAGCCAAAUUGGAAAAACCAUCGACCGUUGAUUGUACC